rnacentral:lncRNA from 1 species
GUGCGAAGAUCUUCUUCUUGACUAAUUUGGAUCUUUUCUUCAAAUAUUUGAAAUCUUUUUAGAGAUUGAAGAUAUAGAAGAGGUGGAAGAAAGAUGGAGAAGAAAAUAAUUUUUUUCUAAUUUAUUCUUUCUUCCUAAGCUCUUAGGACUAAAAAUCUAGAAUUCAGAUUUUUGCGCAUACCCAAAGAGAGCUCCUCUCUUUUUCUCAUGCCAAGAACUAUGCCCCA